rnacentral:rRNA from 1 species
AUUGAACGCUGGCGGCAGGCCUAACACAUGCAAGUCGAACGGUAACAGGAAGCAGCUUGCUGCUUUGCUGACGAGUGGCGGACGGGUGAGUAAUGUCUGGGAAACUGCCUGAUGGAGGGGGAUAACUACUGGAAACGGUAGCUAAUACCGCAUAACGUCGCAAGACCAAAGAGGGGGACCUUCGGGCCUCUUGCCAUCGGAUGUGCCCAGAUGGGAUUAGCUAGUAGGUGGGGUAACGGCUCACCUAGGCGACGAUCCCUAGCUGGUCUGAGAGGAUGACCAGCCACACUGGAACUGAGACACGGUCCAGACUCCUACGGGAGGCAGCAGUGGGGAAUAUUGCACAAUGGGCGCAAGCCUGAUGCAGCCAUGCUUCUUUUAUGAAGAAGGCCUUCGGGUUGUAAAGUACUUUCAGCUGGGAUGAAUGCGACAGGGUUACUACCCCUGACGACUGACGCGUCUCUCAGAAACAAAACCGGAUAACUCCCCGCCAGACCCCGCUGUUU